rnacentral:rRNA from 1 species
GAUGAACGCUAGCGGCAGGCCUCAUACAUGCAAGUCGAGGGGCAGCAUGACACUUCGGUGUCGAUGGCGACCGGCGAACGGGUGCGUAACGCGUAUGUAAUCUACCUUGUACUGGAGAAUAGCUUCCGGAAACGGGAAUUAAUACUCCAUAUUGUCUUUUUGUCAUAAGACAGAAAUAUGAAAGCUCCGGCGGUACAAGAUGAGCAUGCGUCCUAUUAGCUAGUUGGUAAGGUAAUGGCUUACCAAGGCGACGAUAGGUAGGGGGUCUGAGAGGAUGAUCCCCCACACUGGCACUGAGACACGGGCCAGACUCCUACGGGAGGCAGCAGUAGGGAAUAUUGGACAAUGGGCGCAAGCCUGAUCCAGCCAUGCCGCGUGCAGGAUGACGGUCCUAUGGAUUGUAAACUGCUUUUAUACAGGAAAAAUAAGCCCUUGCGAGGGCCCAUGAUGGUACUGUAAGAAUAAGCACCGGCUAACUCCG